CAGCCGCCACGGGAAUACGAAGGGUGCAAGCGUUACUCGGAAUUACUGGGCGUAAAGCGUGCGUAGGUGGUGGUUUAAGUCCGUUGUGAAAGCCCUGGGCUCAACCUGGGAAUUGCAGUGGAUACUGGGUCACUAGAGUGUGGUAGAGGAUAGUGGAAUUUCCGGUGUAGCAGUGAAAUGCGUAGAGAUCGGAAGGAACAUCUGUGGCGAAGGCGACUAUCUGGGCCAACACUGACACUGAGGCACGAAAGCGUGGGGAGCAAACAGGAUUAGAUACCCGAGUAGUCCCUGUCUCUUUACA
rnacentral:rRNA from 1 species